rnacentral:lncRNA from 1 species
AGCGCGCACUGAUUGCGCCUUUUUGUCCGCGCGGCCGGGCCUCGCGUCAAAUCGGCGCGCGCGCGCGCUCGCUCGACCACGGCGGGUUCACCCGUGCCGUCCCGUCACCCCGGUUCGUUGGCCGUCCCGCUCCCGUCCAUCCAUCAUUGUCCAUGGAUCAUUACGCUGCACGCACCACCCUACGUAUCAUCCUACACGCCACGCCAUCGCCUGCCUACACGCACGCACCCCUCCAGCUCGAGGGCAGGGACGACGCCGGCCGCCACCUCCGCUUCUUCCACCCAUCCCGUCAAACGCAGCAUCCUCGCCGUUAUCAUUCUCCUCCCCUCCUCCUCCUCCCCUGUCUCGUCCAUCACCCGUUCCUAGCAGUAGCAGCUAGCCACCUUUUCUCAGGUCAGCCAGGAGGAGGCAUGGGCGGCGGCGCGGUCAGGUGGGUCAAGAUCCUC